UACGUAGGGUGCAAGCGUUAAUCGGAAUUACUGGGCGUAAAGCGUGCGCAGGCGGUUGUGCAAGACCGAUGUGAAAUCCCCGGGCUUAACCUGGGAAUGGCAUUGGUGACUGCACGGCUAGAGUGUGUCAGAGGGGGGUAGAAUUCCACGUGUAGCAGUGAAAUGCGUAGAGAUCGGGAGGAACAUCAGUGGCGAAGGCGGCCAUCUGGGACAACACUGACGCUCAGGCACGAAAGCGUGGGGAGCAAACAGG
rnacentral:rRNA from 1 species